AACGAACGCUGGCGGCGUGGAUAAGACAUGCAAGUCGAGCGCUGGCUGCAGGGUAGCAAUAUUCUGCAGUUGGAGCGGCGCAAGGGUGCGUAACACGUGGGCAAUCUGCCAUGAAGUUUGGAAUAACUCGCUGAAAGGCGAGCUAAUACCGGAUGUGAAACCUGGGAGGCAUCUCCCGGUUUUUAAAGUGGGGACCGUAAGGCCUGACGCUUCAUGAUGAGCCCCG
rnacentral:rRNA from 1 species